UGGGGAAUAUUGCACAAUGGGCGCAAGCCUGAUGCAGCCAUGCCGCGUGUAUGAAGAAGGCCUUCGGGUUGUAAAGUACUUUCAGCGGGGAGGAAGGUGUUGAGGUUAAUAACCUCAGCAAUUGUCGUUACCCGCAGAAGAAGCACCGGCUAACUCCGUGCCAGCAGCCGCGGUAAUACGGAGGGUGCAAGCGUUAAUCGGAAUUACUGGGCGUAAAGCGCACGCAGGCGGUCUGUCAAGUCGGAUGUGAAAUCCCCGGGCUCAACCUGGGAACUGCAUUCGAAACUGGCAGGCUAGAGUCUUGUAGAGGGGGGUAGAAUUCCAGGUGUAGCGGUGAAAUGCGUAGAGAUCUGGAGGAAUACCGGUGGCGAAGGCGGCCCCCUGGACAAAGACUGACGCUCAGGUGCGAAAGCGUGGGGAGCAAACA
rnacentral:rRNA from 1 species